CACGUAGGGGGUAAGCGUUGUCCGGAUUUAUUGGGCGUAAAGAGCUCGUAGGCGGCUUAGUAAGUCGGGUGUGAAACCUCCAGGCUCAACCUGGAGACGCCACCCGAUACUGCUGUGGCUAGAGUCCGGUAGGGGAGCGUGGAAUUCCUGGUGUAGCGGUGAAAUGCGCAGAUAUCAGGAGGAACACCAGCGGCGAAGGCGGCGCUCUGGGCCGGUACUGACGCUGAGGAGCGAAAGCGUGGGGAGCAAACAGG
rnacentral:rRNA from 1 species